rnacentral:sRNA from 1 species
UUUCUUUCUACCUAUACCAUCCGUCGCCAUGUUGUCGUUGGGCGCUCCCUUUUCCUUCUUCCCUCAGGCGUCUAACCUAGAGCCACGGUACAGUCAUUUGCUGGAUCUUUUCUUAAUACGAGGCCGUUCCAUCUCCUUCUCACGAUACGGAGAGGACUAGGCUUUGGAAAAGAGAGACUAUGAUCUUUCUGAUGAUGUUUGUAUCCUUCUAAAUGUUUUCUAGCCUCCUGAAGGAUGCAUUGGCCAUCGCUAUUCUCUUUCUGCUAUCGGCUGUGCCUCCGCCGUCCUUGGUGACAUUGUCUACCACCUCAACAGUUUCCGACAUUCAGACUGGCUUCACUCUUACUGUUGACCUUAAGCACUUUGCAUUCUUUGGCAUUAAGCUUCAAACCGACCUGAGCUGAGUUGUCUUCCUGCUUUGUUGUCUUGAACUGGAGAUGCUUCAUGAUAGUAGAUGACAGAAGAGCAAUGUCGUCUGCGGAGUCGAGGUCUUCAAGCAUGGUGUUAAAGUCUCAUUGAAUUCCGGUUCGUUCUUCUUUGACUGCUGCAUCACCCAGUCUAUUAUCAAAAGCAACAAGAAUUCUGACAUGUACCAGCAUUGCUUUACACCAAUCAAAACAGGGAAAGGGACUGUGGUCUCAUUGUCUUCAACCACAGAGCAUUGGAAGCCUUCGUAUAGUACUAAUCCAUUUGGAUCAGUUUAUUUGUAUACCGUUCUUUCUCAUGAAAAUCCAAAACUGUCUCUCUGAACUGAGUCGAAAGCCUUCUCGAAAUCAACAAAGUAGCAUUUCACUCAUUAGCCAGCUACAGGAUAUUUCUAAGGAUGAAUAUCUGGUUGACAGUCCCUCUACCUCUCCGAUAACCCGCCUGUUCUUUUCUAAGAGUGCGGUGUACGUGUAAUGCAGACGUAAAGUGACGUUAUACAGACCAGUUUUUCAAAAAUUUUAAUUUUAUUUUUCCAUUUUCAGCAUCUAGAAUGAUAAUACCGGUAUGGGUAUUUGUAACGAUUCAUCAAAAUUUGAAAGUCAGUGUUUGAGUUACAAGCAAUAUACAUAAUUUUUAAUUCUUUGUUAUGUAAACAAAACUCGUCUUGUUAUUGUUUACUUAUGUGUGGUAUUGGUAUAAAUUUCAAUCC